GACGAACGCUGGCGGCGUGCCCAACACAUGCAAGUCGAGCGAUGAAAUCCUUCGGGAUGGAUUAGCGGCGGACGGGUGAGUAACACGUGGGUAACCUACCUCAAAGAGGGGGAUAGCCUCCCGAAAGGGAGAUUAAUACCGCAUAACAUUAGUUUUUCGCAUGAAGAACUAAUUAAAGGAGUAAUCCGCUUUGAGAUGGACCCGCGGCGCAUUAGCUAGUUGGUGAGGUAAAGGCUCACCAAGGCGACGAUGCGUAGCCGACCUGAGAGGGUGAUCGGCCACAUUGGAACUGAGAUACGGUCCAGACUCCUACGGGAGGCAGCAGUGGGGAAUAUUGCACAAUGGGCGAAAGCCUGAUGCAGCAACGCCGCGUGAGUGAUGAAGGCCUUCGGGUUGUAAAGCUCUGUCUUUGGGGACGAUAAUGACGGUACCCAAGGAGGAAGCCACGGCUAACUACGUGCCAGCCGCCGCGGUAAGAC
rnacentral:rRNA from 1 species